rnacentral:rRNA from 1 species
GACGAACGCUGGCGGCGUGCUUAACACAUGCAAGUCGAACGGAAAGGCCCUGCAUGUGUGGGGUGCUCGAGUGGCGAACGGGUGAGUAACACGUGAGUAACCUGCCCUUUACUUUGGGAUAACUUCAGGAAACUGGGGCUAAUACCGGAUAGGAGCUCCUGCUGCAUGGUGGGGGGUGGAAAGUUUCGGCGGAUGGGGAUGGACGCGCGGCUUCUCAGUGUGUUGGUGGGGAAGUGGCUCAGCAAGGCGUUGACGGGUAGCCGGACUGAGACGGUGACCCGGCCCAGAGGGAUACAGGAGGCAGCAGGAGUCAUACGGCGGGAAUGGAUGCGAGAUAGUGCACGCUGGGCGGCAGCAGUGUGCAGCGACGCCGCGUGCUAGAUCACGGCUGUCAGGGUGUAACACGCAUUCGCGUGGGACGAAGAGUGAGUGACGGUAAUGGGUAAAGAAGCACCGGCUAACUACGUG